GUUUCUGUGGCGCAAUCGGUUAGCGCGUUCGGCUAUUAACCGAAAGGAUGAUGGUUUAAAUCCAUCCAGAAACG
rnacentral:tRNA from 1 species